rnacentral:rRNA from 1 species
GACGUAGGGGGCCAGCGUUGUUCGGAAUUACUGGGUGUAAAGGGUUCGUAGGCGGUGUGGCAAGUCGGGAGUGAAAUCUCUGGGCUCAACUCAGAGACUGCUUCCGAAACUGCUGUGCUGGAGUGUGGGAGAGGCGCGUGGAAUUGCAGGUGUAGCGGUGAAAUGCGUAGAUAUCAGGAGGAACACCGGUGGCGAAGGCGGGUCUCUGGGCCGAUAUUGACGCUGAGGAGCGAAAGCGUGGGGAGCGAACAGG